CGGGGUGUAGCUCAGUUGGCUAGAGCACUUGCUUUGGGAGCAAGGGGCCGCUGGUUCAAGUCCAGUCACCCCGA
rnacentral:tRNA from 1 species